rnacentral:lncRNA from 1 species
ACGGGUCAUGAAGCCCAUAAAGGUCCAGUUUCAUCCUUUGCCAUUUUUGUGGUCUGUGUGUCUCCAGAGAAUUGUAGGGACAGAAAAAUUGUCCCCAAACCUAUCAAAUUGCCUAACCCAGGCCUUUGCACACUCAUUCCCAUUUUCUGUAUCAAAAGACACCGCCCCUCCCAUUUCCCUCAUGAAUUCACACUAAACUACAUUUUAUUUCAGUCUUUUACCAGUUACAUCCCCUAUUAUCUCCCUAUUAUUCCUCUGAUACCCCUCUUUCAGCAUCAGGUCUUGCUGCUCCAGACCAAAAUCCAUAAAAGCAGAAUACCCUCAAUCACCCUCCCCUGUCUGUCUAUUCCAGUGAGGAAUGAAGCAUUUUCCACAGCUUCUGGCAAUCUCCCUCACCCUGCCCUACCCCACAAAGUUAAUUCAGAAAGGAAAAGAAAAUACUCUAGUUCAGCUCUUCACAGAAACAUGUUAAGUUGCCUUCAAACAGAAUUUGACAACCUCUUGCAAGAUGUAUUGUGGUGCUUCAGUCAAGUGAAAGGAACGAUUGACGCAGGGGUCACAGAAGAGUCUGGAUGAAUGCAGGGAAAUCAUCACAGAAGCACAGACAAAAUUGUAACAUCCUCAUAGGAAGCAUCAAGGUAAAUUAACUCACCCCCCAAGCGUUUGAACAAUAAUGAGACAAAGAAAAAACAACGUAGCUGUAGCUUUUCCCAAGACUUAAGUCUCUUGAUUUCCGUAAAAUAAUGAUUGCAAUGUCUAAGAAACCAUACUUCAUAUUUGUAAGGAAUAUACUGUAUUUUAGUUACCGAGAAUUAAUUUUUUAAAUCCAAUCUCCCUGUUAGGUGUGGCUGGCUGCUUUCUGCUGUAGAAGCAGCUAGAAGCAAUAUGAGAUCUCGGGUAUGGCUAGUCUCCGACUCAUAGUGUAUUCUAGAAACUUAUUUCCCAUCUUGCAGUGAUGCAUGACCUUGAGUUAAGCCUGUAUCCCAUUUAGCUUUAUUCAAUUUGGGUAAAUGCUGCAGGAAUCAGCUUGGCUUAUUAGCCCUCCAGGUUGUUCUGGCUGUCUUUUCUGACCUCAUCAGGACUGACUAUGCCAACAGUAAGUUCCUCUUGUCAAAAAGGAUUGGCAGCAGUUCAUUUUCUCUGUGCAUAUGUAUCUUCAGAUAACUAUGCACUUCCUUAUUUUAUAAUUGAACUGCCAUUGUUACUGCAACUCAUUACUACAAAAAAAGGCCUUGAUACUAACCCUUGCUAAGUAGUGGGUGGCACAGGUAUUAAAAGGCAGAGUUCUGUUACUCUUUCUUCCUUUUUGGUUUGCAUUGGGACUCUCAUGUGACAAAAACACAACUGUAACAAUUUUAACACUUUUGACUGAAAAAAGCAAAAUGCAUUUGUAAAACAUUCAUAAUAAGACAUCCGAUUUCAAUAACUCUCAUUCCAGAAGGAAUACGACGGCAACAAUAAAAUAAUAGGCCUCCAUGCA